rnacentral:rRNA from 1 species
GACGAACGCUGGCGGCAAGCUUAACACAUGCAAGUCGAACGCCCUCUUCGGAGGGAGUGGCAGACGGGUGAGUAACGCGUGGGAACGUGCCUUUUGGUUCGGAACAACUGAGGGAAACUUCAGCUAAAACCGGAUAAGCCCUUCGGGGGAAAGUUUACGCCAAAAGAUCGGCCCGCGUUAGAUUAGCUAGUUGGUGGGGUAAUGGCCUACCAAGGCGACGAUCUAUAGCUGUUCUGAGAGGAAGAUCAGCCACACUGGGACUGAGACACGGCCCAGACUCCUACGGGAGGCAGCAGUGGGGAAUAUUGGACAAUGGGCGCAAGCCUGAUCCAGCUAUGCCGCGUGGAUGAAGAAGGCCCUAGGGUUGUAAAGUCCUUUCGCUAGGGAAGAUAAUGACGGUACCUAGUAAAGAAGCCCCGGCUAAUUUCGUG